AUGCUUACAAUUGAUGAGUUUGAGCAAGCCUGGAAGAUGUUGAUAGAGAAGUACAACCUAGAAAGCCACAUCUACCUUUCUCAAGUGUAUGAGGUUAGGCACAAAUGGGCGAAGCCAUUUUUCAAGGAUGUGUUCUGUGUUAAGAUGACCAGCACGCAGCGGAGUGAGAGCGCUAACAGCAUGCUGAAGUCAUAUGUCCCCCCGGGAUGCCCAAUGCAUAUGUUUGUGAAACAUUACAUGCGCCUGCAGUUUGCCCGGGAUGCGGACGAGAGCUAUGAAGAAAAUCGGAAUAAAACUGGUGGUGUGGUAGUCAAAUGCAAUAUGUCAUUGGAGAGGCAUGCGGCGAAGGUGUACACACGGGCGAUGUUCGAGAAGCUAGGAGAUCUGUUGUACCAGGCUCAUGCAUAUAGAAUUGAGGAAGUCGAAAAGGGUAAGAUUUACAAAGCGACACACACGCAAGCAGAUAGGUGUGAGAGGUGGUCCCGGGUUGUCUUUGAGGUGAAGAUUUUGGAUGAUGGCGCCAUGUUAAAGUGCGAAUGUGGGCUGUUUGAACACAUGGGCAUGCCGUGCUGCCACAUGCUUAAGGUUAUGGAUGUUCUCCCAUCACACCUUCAAGGUUGA
rnacentral:rRNA from 1 species